rnacentral:lncRNA from 1 species
UUUGCCAUAUUUUAUGCUAUUGCUUUUCCCAUUCUCUUGUCUCUCUUUUCCUUUUAUUUGUUUCUUUUGCUAUUGCACUUUGUGAGAGGUUUCAUGCUAUUUAGUCAAAUUUAGGUUUUCCGUUACGUGAAUCCUAGAAAGUAAAUACACUGCCAGAAUAUCUUCCAUGUAUUCAUUAAUUCAACAGAUAUCUAUUGGAUGCUGAUGAUUAUGAAACAAAGUAGCAAAGAUAAGAAGCCAUUUGCUCAUUCUGCUCCUUUGCCAGCAAUAUUUCACAAAGCCCCUGACUCAUUGACUGUGAGCAGCCUUGUGGAAGAAUGCCUUGAAGACCAUAAGCAGGAUAGGGAAUAGGUUUGCACAUCUCUUGCCUGAAUCACUGAAUUUUUACAAAAGGUAAGUUUGGUGAUCCUAGCCCUUGCCUCUUCCUGUACAUAAGAUAAUGUCUGACAAGAUUAAUGAUUAUGCCUCAAAUUCAUGACCAGAUGUAACUUCAUACCCACACUUUGAUGAGACUUUACUUGUAUUAACCCAUUUUCAUACUGCUAUGAAGAAAUACCCAAGACUGCAUAAUUUCUAAAGAAAAAGGCUUAGUGGACUCACAGUUCCACAUGGCUGGGGAAGCCUCACAAUCAUGGUAGAAGAUGAAGAAGGAGCAAAGGCACAUCUUACAUGGCAGCAGGUGAGAGAGCAUGUGCAGAGGAACUACCCUUUAUAAAACCAUCAGAGGCCAGGUGCAGUGGCUCACACCUGUAAUCCUAGCACUUUGGGAGGCCGAGGCAGGCAGAUCAUCUGAGGUCAGGCAUUCAAGACCAGCCUGGCCAACAUGGCAAAACCCCAUGUUUCAAAAUUAGCUCAGUGUGGGGGCACAUGCCUGUAAUACCAGCUACUAGGGAGGCUGAGGCAGGAGAAUCGCUUGAACCUGGGAGGCAGAGGUUGCAGUGAGCCAAGAUCACGCUACUGUACUCCAGCCUGGGCAACAGAGCCAGACUUUGUCUCAAAAAAUAAAAUGAAAUAAAAUAAAAAUAAAUAAAUAGAUAGAUAAAUAAAACCAUCAGAGCUCGUGAGAACUCACUACCAUGACAACAUGAGGGUAACUGAUCCCAUAAUUAAAUUACUUCCCAUCAGGUCCCUCCCUUGACACUUGGGGAUUAUGGGAGCUACAAUUCAAGAUGAGAUUUGGGUUGGGACACAGCCAAACCAUAUCAUUCCACCCUGGCCCCUCCAAAAUCUCCUGUCCUCACAUUUCAAAAGCAAUCAUGCCUUACCAGCAGUCCCCCAAAGUCUUAACUCAUUUCAGCAUUAACUCAAAAGUCUACAGUCCAAAGUCUCAUCUGAGACAAGGCAAGUCCCUUCUGCCUAUGAGCUUGUAAAAUCAUAAGCAAGUUAAGUUACUUCCUAAAUACAAUGGGGGUACAAGCAUUGGGUAAAUACACCCAUUCCAAAUGGGAGAAAUAGGCCAAAAUGAAGGGACUACAGGGCCCAUGCAAGUCCAAAAUCCAGCAGGGCAGUCAAAUCUUAAAGCUCCAAAAUGAUCUGCUUUGACUCCGUGUCUCACAUCCAGUUCACGUUGAUACAAGAGGUAGGUUGCCAUGGUCUUGGGCAGCUCUGCCCCUGUGGCUUUGCAAGAUACAGCCUCCUUCCCAGCUGCUUUAACAGGCUGGCAUUGAGUGUCUCUGGCUUUCCCAGGCAUAUGCUGCAAGCUGUUGGUGGAUCUACCAUCCUGGGGUCUGGAGGAUGGUGGCCCUCUUCUCACAGCUCCACUAGGCACUGCCCCAGUGGGGACUCUGUGUGGGGGAUCCCACCCCACAUUUCCCUUCUGCAUUGCCCUUCUGCCUUAGCAGAGGUCGUGCAUGAGGGCCCUGCCCCUGCAGCACACCUCUGCCUGAACAUCCGGGUGUUUCCAUACAUCCUCUGAAAUCUAGGCAGGGUUCCCAAACCUCAAUUCUUGACUUCCGUGCACCCACAGUCCCAAUAUCACAUGUGAGCAGCCUGAGACUGCACAAAGCAGCAAGGCCCUGGGCCCAGCCCAUAAACCCAUUUUUCCUCCUUGGCCUCCUGGCUUGUGAUGAGAGGGACUUCCAGGAAGACCUCUUACAUGCCCUGGAGACAUUUUUCCCAUUGUCGUGGUAAUUAACAUGUGGCUUCUUGUUACUUAUGCAAAUUUCUGCAGCAGGCUUGAAUUUCUCCGCAAAAAAUGGGUUUUUCUUUUCUAUCACGUCAUCAGGCUGCAAGUUUUCCUUUUAUGCUCUGCUUCCUCUUGAACGCUUUGCCACUUAGAAAUUUCUUCCCUCAGGUACCCUAAAUCAUCUCUCUAAAGUUCAAAGUUCCACAGAUAACUAGGGCAGGGGCAAAAUGCCACCAGUCUCUUUGCUAAAGCAUAGCAAGAGUGACCUUUAUUCCAUUUCCCAACAAGUUCCUCAUCUCCAUCUGAGACCACCUCAGCCUGGACUUCUUUGUCCGUAUCCCUAUUAGCCUUCUGAUCAAAGCCAUUCAACAAGUCUCUAGGAAGUUCCAAACUUUCCUACAUCUUUCUGUCUUCUGAGCCCUCCAAGUCUCUAGGAAGUUCCAGAGUUUCCCACAUUUUCCUGUCUUCUUCUGAGCCCUCCAAACUGUUCCAACCUCUGCCUGUUACCCUGUUCCAAAGUUGCUUCAACAUUUUCUGUUAACCUUAUAGCAGAGCCCCACUACCUCAGUUCCAAUUUACUGUAUUAGUCCAUUUUCAUACUACUGUGAAGAAAUAGCCAAGACUGGGUAAUUUAUAAAGAAAAAGAGGUUCAGUGGACUCACAGUUCCACAUGGCUGGGGAGGCCUCACAAUCGUGACAGAAGGCAAAGGAGGAGCAAAGACACAUCUUACCUGGCAGCAAGGCAAGAGAGAGAGCAUGUGCGGAGGAACUGCCCUUUAUGAAACCAUCAGAUUUCCUGAGAUUUAUUCACUAUCAUGAGACCAGCAGGGGAAAAACUUGCCCCCAUGAUUAAAUUACUUCCCACCGGGUCCUACCAUUGACACAUGGGGAUUAUGGGAGCUACAAUUCAAGAUGAGAUUUGAGUGGGGACACAGCCAAACCAUGUCAUUAAUGUAAUUUCUGAGCACAUUUGAUGUAACUUCUUAACACAUGCAGAGCAACCACCACCUAUGUUUAAGCUAUGGGGUGAAUCAAUGCUUUGCAGCAAUAUAACAAACUCUUUGAAAGAUUCUCCCAGGUUGCAGUACUCAGUAGGACUUCUGAAUAAAAUUAACUUUAAUUAUUUAAAAGCCUGUUUUUUUUUCUUUAGUUGACAUAACAUACCAGGAUAUUGUAGCUGGAAAUACAUAGGAGGUUCUUGCUCUCACGAACCUUACAUUCCAGUAAGGAAAACAGACAAUAAGAAAAAAGAAAAAUGAAUACAAUAAAUUCUCAUGGUGAUACAAAUAAGGUAAGAUGACAGAAACUGAAGGGAGAGGGAGACACUACUUCAGUGAGGUGGUCAGUGAAAACCUCUCUGCAAAGGUGGUGUGAAAUCUGAGACCUGAAUGACAAGAAAGAACUAGCGAUGCAAACAUCUGCGGGUGGCACAUUUCUAAUAUUUAUUUUUUACUAGUUUUAUUUUGUGUUAAUUUUACGUUUAACUAUCUGGAAUAUAUUUUGGUACAGGAGUCCCCCUUAUCCAAGGGGGAUAUGUAUCAAGCCCCCCAGUGGAUACCUGAAAUCACAGAUAGCGCUGAACCCUAUAUGUACUGUUUUUU